CUUAAAUAAAAAAGAAUUAAAAUAGAUAUGGCUGCUGUGUCACUUAUGCAUCAGUAGGUGGCAGAGAGGAGAGGAAUAUGUCUAUGUUCAAUGUUCUAACCUGUGAACAUCUAAAUAAUUAGUAUCCUAACAUU
ensembl:snoRNA LOC120102713 small nucleolar RNA SNORA17